CUCAACAGUUCAAAGAAUCACUUUAGAGUAGACGUCCCUCAUUGAGCUCUUCUAAAGAGCCACACCCCCAACCCUUGUUGAUGACUUUUAUGUCCUCGAUGCCCUAAAGUGAAACCGUGUUUACUUCCGCCUCGACCUUGCAUUCCUGGGCUCCCGAUACGAUCUGUCUGACAGACUUGUUCCGGGUUUCCGGUUUGCUUUAUGGUCCAGGGAGUGGUGAUGAUCUUGACCUUUUCCUGACGUCUGACUUCGGUCGGUCGGAUUUGGUGGGUGUCGAGGAGGUCUGAAAGGC
rnacentral:snoRNA from 1 species